GAGUAACACGUGGAUAACCUACCUAUAAGACUGGGAUAACUUCGGGAAACCGGAGCUAAUACCGGAUAAUAUUUUGAACCGCAUGGUUCAAAAGUGAAAGACGGUCUUGCUGUCACUUAUAGAUGGAUCCGCGCUGCAUUAGCUAGUUGGUAAGGUAACGGCUUACCAAGGCAACGAUGCAUAGCCGACCUGAGAGGGUGAUCGGCCACACUGGAACUGAGACACGGUCCAG
rnacentral:rRNA from 1 species